GAUGAACGCUGGCGGCGUGCCUAAUACAUGCAAGUAGAACGCUGAAGCUUGGUGCUUGCACCGAGCGGAUGAGUUGCGAACGGGUGAGUAACGCGUAGGUAACCUGCCUGGUAGCGGGGGAUAACUAUUGGAAACGAUAGCUAAUACCGCAUGACAACAGUUAUUGCAUGAUAACUGUUUAAAAGGGGCAAUUGCUCCACUACCAGAUGGACCUGCGUUGUAUUAGCUAGUUGGUGAGGUAACGGCUCACCAAGGCGACGAUACAUAGCCGACCUGAGAGGGUGAUCGGCCACACUGGGACUGAGACACGGCCCAGACUCCUACGGGAGGCAGCAGUAGGGAAUCUUCGGCAAUGGACGGAAGUCUGACCGAGCAACGCCGCGUGAGUGAAGAAGGUUUUCGGAUCGUAAAGCUCUGUCGUAAGAGAAGAACGAGUGUGAGAGUGGAAAGUUCACACUG
rnacentral:rRNA from 1 species